UAUAAUAAAAUGGUCAAAAUUUUAUCACUCUUUUUCUGUUUUGUAUUCUUGUACUUACACAACAGUAGUAGAAAGAAGGGUGAAAAUAAAUGAGGGAAAAGAUUGUCUCACAUUCUUAAAAUGCCAGAGAGAGAGAUUCUUGUACUUAAACAUGGUUUGAAGAUAUCAUCCCCUUGCUCUAGUGGUACACCUGGUUCUGACAGUGAUUCCAUUGAAUAGCUGCUUUCAGGCUGAUACUUGUUAGUUUAUUGUCUCUUCGGGUCUAUUCGAAAUCCAGUAUACUUAAUAUUAAUAAAGUUUUCAAUUAGUCUAAUUUCUAUAUAAUUAUAACAAUAAUGUGUUAAAACAUGUUAUAAAACUAUGUUAGCAAAGUUUUCCAUUCUCCAGUUGUUAAAUUAAGUCGUGUAAUAUAGAAAGGAAUUCAAAACCCUUUGACCAAUCUUCAUGAAGCUUGGCAUAAAUAUUACUGUACAUUUUUUCAGAGGCUGAUUAAUGUACCUCUCACAAUAGAAGCCCUAAAUUUAAAUGUUUUUAAGAACUAUAGCAUGUCAGAUGUAGGAACAGAUUGAAGUCAGUAAACAAAUUUGAUUUACUGGGGUAUGACUUGUAUAAAUAAAUUAUCAAUCUUAAUGAAACUGGAAACAAUUAGACCACAUUCAGUUAAGAAUACCCCACGCUACCAUGACAGUUUUUUUUUUUAGGUGAAAAAAAAAGUGCAGUCACAAUCUUCUAUCAAAAAAUGUAUUUUGUUUACUAAUUAAAAGAUUGAGGUUCUUUAUUCUAC